rnacentral:rRNA from 1 species
GUGAGGUAACGGCUCACCAAGGCGAUGACGGGUAGCUGGUCUUAGCGGAUGAUCAGCCACACGGGGACUGAGACACGGCCCCGACUCCUACGGGAGGCAGCAGUGGGGAAUUUUGGACAAUGGGCGAAAGCCUGAUCCAGCGACGCCGCGUGCGGGAGGAAGCCCUUCGGGGUGUAAACCGUUGUCAGGAGGGAAGAAAUGAUUCGGGUUAAUACCCUGGAUCUCUGACGGUACCUCCAGAGGAAGCGCCGGCUAACUCCGUGCCAGCAGCCGCGGUAAUACGGAGGGCGCAAGCGUUGUCCGGAAUUACUGGGCGUAAAGGGGGCGCAGGCGGCUCGCUAAGUCCUGUGUGAAGGCCCGCGGCUCAACCGCGGAAAGCCACAGGAUACUGGCGAGCUAGAGACGGGUAGAGGCGAGUGGAAUUCCCGGUGUAGCGGUGGAAUGCGUAGAUAUCGGGAAGAACACCAGUGGCGAAGGCGACUCGCUGGGCCCGUUCUGACGCUCAGGCCCGAAAGCGUGGGGAGCAAACAGGAUUAGAUACCCUGGUAGUCCACGCCGUAAACGAUGGGCACUAGGUGCUGGGAAGUGCGACCUUUUCGGUGCCGUAGCUAACGCGUUAAGUG